rnacentral:miRNA from 6 species
GAGCUGCCAAAUGAAGGGCUGU